UCUGGGCCCCGCGGCGGCGCCUGGCUGUAUUGUGGGCCGGGAGUGGGCGGCGCGGGCGCGGCGUUUCCGAACGCUGUGUUCGGCUGUCUUCCCGCGUGGGGCCUCGACUUCCGAGUUCGCUUCCCCUCCGCUUCCUCCCCGGGAGCUCGUUCUCCCCCAACCGCGAUGUCCUUACUGCGCGCACGCCUCUUCCGGGGUGCUGGCACCCACAGGAGCCGGACCGUCAUCCAGGCCUUUAGGUUUCACCCUUAUCCUUUCCCCGCGUCAAGAUUAUGGAGGCGCAUUUUUUUGUUUAAUUUCAGAGAGAGAGAAAUACAAAUGAUGAGAGAGAAUCGUUGGUCGGCUGCCUCCUGCACAACCCCUGUUGCGGAUUGAGCUUGCAACCCAGGCAUGUGCCCUGACCUCCUGGUUCAUGUCGAUGCUCAACCACCAAGCUCAUUGGCCAGGCCUCUAGGAAGUCUUAAUGCUUUUUUGGGAAAGAGGGCCCUCAUUUUUAUUUUACCAAUCAUACAGCUCGUUUUAUUUAUGAAGUAUUAGCUCUAUUUGAGAGAGGACUUUUUUACUACCAUAAUUCUUAGCACCUUUAAAACCAAAACAUGUAUUAUAAAUAGAUGGGGGACAUGCUAUGCGACAUUUCCCAAACAAAUUUGACUCUGGAAACAUUCCUUCGCAGAAAAUCCCUUAGAGGUUUUGUGCUCUGCAGAACACGGAUGCAAGCCCAACCCUUUAGUGAUCUGACUCCACCUAUCUCGCUCCUGAUGCCCUAAGCACAGUGAGCACUUGCUUGCCUCUGAGCCUUCACAUAUGCUUUGCAAUCUGGCCCUGCUCAUUAAGCACCUUCUCAUUAUAAUUGGCUUCUCUUGUGGAUUUGCCUACAAGGUGAGCCCUGGCCGAGUAGCUCAGUUGGUCAGAGCAUUGUCCUGAUACACCAAGGUUGUGGGCUCCAUCCCCCGUCAAGGCACAUAAAAGAAUCAACCAAUGAAUACAUAAAUAAGAAGGGAGAGACAUCAAUGAUGACAGAGAAUCAUGGAUCUGCUGCCUCCUGCACGCCCCCUACUGGGGGUGGAGCCUGCAACCCGGGUAGCGGGUCACCAUGAGGUUCAACCCCAUUCGUGGCCUUGGGUUGCAAGGAGCUGCAGCAGAGGUACAAGGUCCACUCCGUGCCCUUCUGCAAGGACAGUAAGGUCCAGAUGGAUCGAGGACACUACAACUGGCAGCAAAGCGGCAAGGUGAAGCAGGUGCACAGAAAGACAUGGGUCAUCUACAUGGACCGGGGCAGCGUGAGAAGGCUAAGGGUACAACGGUGCAUGUGGGCAUUCACCCCAGCAAGGCAGCCAUCACCAGGCUAAAGCUGGGCAAACGUCGGAAAAAAAUUCUUGAAUGCAAAGCUCAGUCUCCACAAGUUGGAAAAGAGGCAGGCAAAUAGAAGGAAGAACCUACUGAGAGAAUGCAGAAAUAAAUAUAACCUGUUGUGCAACUGCGGGUUAGCUGUCGAUUUUUAGCCUGCUGUGGACGCCUGUGAAACUUUUCAAGAAGUCUCUGGAAUAUUUUGUUUCAUUCCUGUUCUGUUAUUGAUAAAACCUGUAAACCUACUGUUGCUAUGUUGAUUAAAUUUAUGAAUAAAAUUUGGAAACGUUCCUAUACAAAAGCAAAGCAAGCAAACAAAGUGUAAUAACAACAACAGUUAAGCAUCACUGUCAAGCAUCAUUUGAAAUGCCUUUCAUAUAUGAAACGCAUGUAAUCUUAAAUCCUGGGGCCC